rnacentral:rRNA from 1 species
CCAGCCCGCUCAGAAACUACAAAGGAAGUUGACGGGGGCCCCGCACAAGCGGUGGAGCAUGUGGUUUAAUUCGAUGAUACGCGAGGAACCUUACCUGGGCUCAAAUGUAUGUUGACGUAUUCUGAAAGGGAUACUUCUUCGGACAAUAUACAAGGUGCUGCAUGGUUGUCGUCAGCUCGUGCCGUGAGGUGUCGGGUUAAGUCCCAUAACGAGCGCAACCCCUAUCAUUAGUUGCCAUCAGGUCAAGCUGGGGACUCUAAUGAAACUGCCUACGCAAGUAGUGAGGAAGGUGGGGAUGACGUCAAAUCAGCACGGCCCUUACGUCCAGGGCUACACACGUGCUACAAUGGCCGGUACAAAGGGCAGCUACCUGGUGACAGGAUGCUAAUCUCAAAAGCCGGUCUCAGUUCGGAUCGGAGUCUGCAACCCGACUCCGUGAAGCUGGAUUCGCUAGUAAUCGCGCAUCAGCCAUGGCGCGGUGAAUACGUUCCCGGGCCUU